rnacentral:rRNA from 1 species
UACGGAGGGUGCAAGCGUUGUUCGGAAAUACUGGGCGUAAAGGGUAUGUAGGCAGUUAUAUUAGUUAGGGGUGAAAUCCCAGGGCUUAACCUUGGAAUUGCCUUUAAGACGGUAUGACUAGAGAGCUUGAAGGGAUAAUGGAAUACCCAGUGUAGAGGUGGAAUUCGUAGAUAUUGGGUAGAACACCAGUGGCGAAAGCGGUUAUCUAGCGAGCAACUGACGCUGAGAUGCGAAAGCGUGGGGAUCAAAC